GACGAACGCUGGCGGCGUGCCUAAUACAUGCAAGUAGGACGCAGUUGCGAACGGGUUAGUAACGCGUAGGUAACUACCUAUUAGUGGGGGAUGACUAUUGUAAACGAUAGCUAAUACCGCAUACUAAUAGAUGGACCUGCGUUGUAUUAGCUAGUAGGUAGGGUAAUGGCCUACCUAGGCAACGAUACAUAGCCGAACGGGGAGGAGGAUCGGCCACCCGGGGACUGAGACACGGCCCAGACGCCUACUGGAGGCAGCAGUAGGGAAUCGUCGGCAAUGGGGGGAAACCUGAGCGAGAAACGCCGCGUGAGUGAAGAAGGUUUUCGGAUCGUAAAGCUCUGUUGUCAAGGAAGCGGUACUUAAACAGAAAGGGACGGCUAACUACGUGCCAGCAGCCGCGGUAAUUC
rnacentral:rRNA from 1 species